UUUUAGCCCCGAUUGCAGCAUUUGUUUGAGCUCAUUUUAUAGAUUCGGCGGCGGCUUUGCCGCCGCCGAAUCUAUAAAAUAGCGAGUGCGGAAAGCGGGAAACAGC
rnacentral:misc_RNA from 1 species